CCCAAAGUGUUAUUUUUGCUUGCUCCUCCUGAAGCGCCGCCACGCCCACCUCGAUCUCCGCCGCCACCUCCCACCCCUACCUCUGCGGUGGUCCCGCGCCUCCUCUACCCCGACCUAUAGCGGCCCCAGCUCGAUCUCCGCUGAUGGUCCUGCGUCCUCACCACCCUGACCUCCGGAGAAGCUCCUUCGUCCCACUUCCUUCCCCGACCUCCGCUGCGCUCCGGCGUUCUUCACUGUGGUGACGCACCCAUCCAUGCCGGUUGUACAUGCUGGAUUAAGAGCAUUUCGAGGAUGAGCACAUGGUGUAUAUGGUGAUCAAGGAAGCCUAGGAACAAGCAUCUUUAGGAAAGAGAUGGAGAAGAUGGUUUCCAAGAAAGGGAAAAGCAGGGAAGUAAAACACGAUUACUUUAGGAUGAUGUGAAAGCAGAUUUUCUUUCAACAGUAGGUGGAUUCUUAAGAUAAUGACAGGUUAACAGUGCAAGAGCUAUGAUAAGGCCUAACAUGGUUGCUGGAAGAUAUAUUUGUACAAUAAUAACUGGCAUGCACAUGCAGCUAUAGUUAAUAUGAAAUUAAAAAGAGUUUAUAUGAGAUAUUUAAUUUCUGUGGCUGAAUGAAAAUUGCUGAACAAAUUUCUGUAAGGUAGCAGCCCAAUAGAUUGUACAAAUAUGGAUGCAUGCAGGUGAUGAUAGACACUAACAUGUCAGAUCUCGAAUUAAGUGUAUGUUAUGCAUUAUGUUUUCAGUUCUUCGUGAUAUGUUUUGAUUAGUUCUGAAGCGUCCAGUUUAACAUAUUAUGUCUCAGACAUUUGGAGAGGUAUCAGAUAGAAGAGUAUGUCCUUAAUUCUGGGUUACCAUCAUGGUAUGUAAGGUGAGCGAAAAAAAAUUAUGGCCUUAAUUCUGGGCAAUCCUCAAGGUACGUAAGGUGAGUCAUAUUAAUAGAUACUGUUUAAAUAGAUACUGUUGUCAAGACCCUCAAUAGCAUCUUUCAGACGAGUGCCACUUUGUAUGGGAUAAGAGAUGCUUGCUCCAUGUAUAUAAUAACUUGAAACUCCUGUUUAGAGCAUGUACUGAAGUAUUGGUUUAAACCAUCUAAAUGUUCUUGCAAAAAAGGGCCUGUUUGUUUGGCCGAAUUUCAAUUCUUAAAUGCAUCAUCCUAUGUUUCGACAAAGAUUUUUGCGGGUUGUAGGACAAAAUGGGAUAUCCGAUGUCUCAUAUGUUUCUAUACAUAUCCAAUGGUAUCCUCAAUAAAUGUCUGGUACUAUCUUCCAUCCACCAUUUCCCACCAUUUAAAGACUGAACGCUAUGUCAUUCCUACUUAUGCUCUUUUAUGGUUGACCAUGCUCUGUAUAGAUCAUGCAAAUAUAAAAGGCCCUAUUCUUCUUUAUCGAUAGUGUAUUAUGGAUUUAAGGAUUAUUUGUAUCAUUUUACUGAAUAAAGAUACAAAGUGAGAGAAUGUUUAUUUCAUUGUGUAAAUUUCUUUUACAACUAAAUAAUUUAGAAAUUUGAGUGAUUGGUACAAGAUACAGCUGAAAAUUCCUUUUCUCUAUCAAAACUGCAAUAUUCAAGAUAAAAAACAGACGAUAACACUGAUCUAAAAAAACAAUGUUAUGUAUUUAAGAAUACUGUGGGAUCUUUCAUGGUGAAAAGAACAAUGUGGAGUCUAUUUUCCAGCAGAAUAUUGUGCAAUAUCUUUGAAUUAUAUCAAAUGUAUAUUUUGAUUUUGUGAGAAAGUUUGCUUGACUUGAACCUUCUCAGACCACCAGCUAGACAUACCAAUUUGAAAUUAUUAUUGUUUAGUAUUAAAAUGAAUCAAAUCAAAAAAUUGUAAGUAAAACAUUAUAUAGCCAAUAUUAUAUUGUUAAUAAUUAUAUUUAAAAGUUAUAAUUUUUGUAAUUAAUAAAUAGGCGUAGUUGUAUGUUCAACUCAUGGCCUGCAUCAACAACUUCAAUCAUAUUUCUUCUCUCUUUAUCGGUCUUUACCCAGAACACCCAUGAGGCUGCCGCCACGCUGCGAGGGGAGCAAGUCGAGGUGCCUAUCCGGGCUGCAAAAAUGCCGGGCAUCACCGACUUGGAUGUUGUGUCCUGCUCGAGCACGUCAUUAAUGGGUGUUGGACAUGGACUCCACAUGGAACACUCUCUUUGCCACAUUAAAGAUGGCCUCAAGCCCCUAUACGGAAGUGUCCAGUCUCGCCGUUCUACCAUUUUCUCUGGAACAACGAUGUACAACUUCGAUUGAACACAGACCGCCAAUGCUCCACCUGAGAAUAAACUUCUCACGAGUGAAAUUAGUUCUGGUGUUCCAAUGUAGCUAGAUUGGAGAGAAACAUGAUAGCAUCUUAAUAAUCCAGUAAGAUUUUUGGUUGGAAGGAAGAAACUCCUCUCGUUGCGAGGACUUGGUGGUAAUUUACAAGGUCGUGCAUCAUUUUUCAUGUAACUGGUAGUGGCGAUUCAAGUCACAUGUUAUUAGAAUGGAUGUUACUACAACAUUUCCGUCUAAAUGUAUGACACUAUGAUCUUUGCAUAUAUAGUGCACUGCCUGUGUAAAUAAAUAUAAGACGUUUAGAUCACUAAAGUAGUGACCUAAAACUUUUAUAUUUUUGUAUGAGCGAGUAAUAUGUUCCUACUACUAUAUGUUUUUGUCAUUAUUAUGAGAAGAGAUUAAUUAACUUCUCUGAGAUAUA